rnacentral:rRNA from 1 species
CGCAUUUGCAGAGGUCAAGCAAAAAAGAGCGCAGGGUGGAUGCCUUGGCACUAAGAGCCGACGAAAGACGUGAUAAGCUGCGAAAAGCUGCGGGGAGAUGCAAAUAAUCUUUGAUCCGCAGAUAUCUGAAUGGGGAAACCUGGCUGGACGAACUCCAGUCAUCCAUACGCCAAUACAUAACGUAUGGAAGGGAACCCGGUGAACUGAAACAUCUAAGUAACCGGAGGAAGAGAAAGAAACAUCGAUUUCCAAAGUAGCGGCGAGCGAAAUGGAAAGAGGCCAAACCAUGGUGCGUGCACCGUGGGGUUCGGACCGCAUAAUUGAUUCAAAACUGUUAGCAGAACUGUUCUGGGAAGUACGACCAGAGAGGGUGAGAGUCCCGUACGCGAAAACAGGAUUGACAUGGCGGUAUCCAGAGUACAUCGAGACACGAGAAACCUUGAUGGAAUGAGCGGGGACCACCCCGUAAGCCUAAAUACUACUUAGUGACCGAUAGCGCAUAGUACUGUGAAGGAAAGGUGAAAAGGACCCCGGGAGGGGAGUGAAAGAGAACCUGAAACCCUGUGUUUACAAGCUGUGGUAGCACGAUGUAAAUCACGUGCGACCGCGUACUUUUUGUAGAACGGUCCGGCGAGUUACGCUCACUGGCAAGGUUAAGGACUUAAGGUCUGGAGCCGAAGGGAAACCAAGUCUGAAUAGGGCGAGUAAGUCAGUGGGAGUAGACCCGAAACCGGGUGAUCUAUCCAUGUCCAGGUUGAAGUUGCCGUAAAAGGCAAUGGAGGACCGAACCCACAUCCGUUGAAAAGGGUGGGGAUGAGGUGUGGAUAGGGGAGAAAUUCCAAUCGAACCCGGAGAUAGCUGGUUCUCCUCGAAAUAGCUUUAGGGCUAGCCUCGUUUUAGUCUUAUGCAGGUAGAGCACUGAAUUUCUGCGGGGGCGUCAAAGCCUACCAAGGAAUAUCAAACUCCGAAUGGCAUGUAGAUGAUGAACGGGAGUCAGACUGCACGAGAUAAGUUGAGUGGUCAAAAGGGAAAGAGCCCAGACCGCCGGCUAAGGUCCCAAAGUGCGUGUUAAGUGGAAAAGGAUGUGAGAUUUCGAAGACAACUAGGAUGUUGGCUCAGAAGCAGCCAAGCAUUCAAAGAGUGCGUAACAGCUCACUAGUCGAGAGGUCUUGCGCCGAAAAUGUCCGGGGCUAAAACACGACACCGAAGCCGCGGGAUGUAGUAAUACAUCGGUAGAGGAGCAUUCUAAAAACCGACGAA